AGCGAACGCUGGCGGCAGGCUUAACACAUGCCAGUCGAACGGGCAUCUUCGGAUGUCAGUGGCAGACGGGUGAGUAACACGUGGGAACGUACCCUUCGGUUCGGAAUAACUCAGGGAAACUUGAGCUAAUACCGGAUACGCCCUUUUGGGGAAAGGUUUACUGCCGAAGGAUCGGCCCGCGUCUGAUUAGCUUGUUGGUGGGGUAACGGCCUACCAAGGCGACGAUCAGUAGCUGGUCUGAGAGGAUGAUCAGCCACACUGGGACUGAGACACGGCCCAGACUCCUACGGGAGGCAGCAGUGGGGAAUAUUGGACAAGGGGCGCAAGCCUGAUCCAGCCAUGCCGCGUGAGUGAUGAAGGCCUUAGGGUUGUAAAGCUCUUUUGUCCGGGACGAUAAUGACGGUACCGGAAGAAUAAGCCCCGGCUAACUUCGUG
rnacentral:rRNA from 1 species